ACGACUAACACCAUCCUUCAAGUGUUCACACAUUUGUCUUUAUCUUUACGUUGUUGCGACGUUACUUUCGGGUGCACCUUAUAGGCCUGUAGCUCAGUUGGUUAGAGCGCACCCCUGAUAAGGGUGAGGUCGGCAGUUCAAAUCUGCCCAGGCCUACCACAUCGUUUCAGCUCAUCGUUGUGAAUCGGCUUGCAUAGGUGACUAUGCGUCACCGCUCCACGCCUUGAUCUGAAUCAAUGUCCCCGUUGAAGUGCUUGAAGUAUAUGGGGCUAUAGCUCAGCUGGGAGAGCGCUUGAUUUGCAUUCAAGAGGUCCGCGGUUCGAUCCCGCGUAGCUCCACCACUUAUGGUAUGUCGCAGCGAAGUCAGUGAAGAGCACACGCUCGUGUGUUGUUCACUGGUUUCGGCAACCAGUUGUUCUUUAACAAGGUAAAUUAAGCUGAGUCUUUGAAUUAGAAAUCAGCAUUUGGGUUCGCUCAAGUGGUGAGGAUAAUUCUUAGAUACAAGUUUUCAGGCACGGUCUCAAUUCCCGUGUCUGUAAAUCGAGUUUUUAAAAUAUACAUACUGUGACUUAAGCGUCACAACAUCCGGCGCGCUGAUGCACUAACCUUUGCAUCAGUGUUCUAAAAGUACCUAGCCUUUGCACAAGGGGGUUAGGGAAAUGUCUUCUUGAGCUCUUCGGAGCGGCAUCUUC
rnacentral:tRNA from 1 species